ensembl:lncRNA
AAUUGAAAGGGGGGAAAAAGUCGGAAAAUGCCCCAAAAUAAUCCCAAAUCCUGAGUUUGGCACCUCCGGGAUUCCCCUGAAUCCCAACCCCAAAAAUUCCCCCUCCAAUCCCGGAAUGUCCAAACCCCGGAUCCCAAAUCUCAGCUCCAGCCCCCAAAUCCCAAAUCCCAAAUCCCCAGCCGGGAAUGGGAGACACCAAAACUGGGUCGGGAUUAUGGGAUGGGACCCCCGGCAUCCCAAAAAAUCCCUUUUCCCACUAAAAAAAAAAACCCAAAUGUCCCUUAAACCCCCCCGAAAUCGGCUCCAAACUCUGGGAUUGGGAUCUGUGGGAUUUGGGAUUUGUGGGAUUUGGGAUCUGGGAUUUGGGAUUUGUGGGAUUUGGGAUCUGUGGGAUUUGGGAUUUGUGGGAUUUGGAUUUCUGGGAUUUGGGAUCUGGGAUUUGGGAUCUGGGAUUUGGGAUUUGUGGGAUUUGGAUUUGUGGGAUUUGGGAUUUGUGGGAUUUGGAUCCUCCACCCCUCCAAAUUCCCGGCGAGGAUUCCCCGCUCUCUCCCAGCGCCCUUUUGGGGCGGAUUUGGGGUUUUUGGGGUCACGCCCCGGGCGCGGGGACCCCCGGGCGCCGCCGCAGCCGCGAUCCCCGGGAAUCCCGGGAUUUGUGGCCGCGAUUCCUCCCAGUCCCAAAAAAUCCCUUCCCGCGCGCGGAAUUCCCGCGGGUUUGGUUUUCCCGCCCGCCGGAGGGGGGAAAAAAAAUGGGAUUUUUGGGGGUGAAAAACGAGAGUUCCCAAAAAAAUGGGAUCCGUUCCCAUGGGAUCCAUUCCCGCGGGAUCCAUUCCCAUGGGAUCCAUUCCCUCCGGGAUCCAUUCCCAUGGGAUCCAUUCCCGCGGGAUCCGUUCCCAUGGGAUCCAUCCCCUCCGGGAUCCAUCCCCUCCGGGAUCCGUUCCCAUGGGAUCCAUUCCCUCCGGGAUCCAUUCCCCCGGGAUCCGUUCCCAUGGGAUCCAUCCCCUCCGGGAUCCGUUCCCAUGGGAUCCAUCCCCUCCGGGAUCCAUUCCCGCGCAUCCCGCCAGGGUCCGGCUGUUCCCGGGAUUUUUUUGCCGGGAAUUCCCUGGAUCCUCCCGCGCAUCCCUGCGGGUUUCGCCUUUUUUGGGAUUUGUUUUUCCCGGGAUUUUCCCGCUUUGGCGCCGAUUCCCGGCGCCGACUCCAGAGGGAGCCCGGACAAGGGGGGAUGGAAAAUCCUGGGAUUUUCCAGCCGGGAAAAACCUCGGGAAGGGAGCGGAGCUUCCCCGGCAGGGCCGGAUUUUCCUUCGUCCGCAUCCCAGAGAAUCCCGGAUUUCCCGGUAUCCAUAUCCCAGAUUUUCCCCCACCUCCAUCCCAGAGAAUCCCAGAUUUUCCUGUGUCCAUAUCCCAGAAAAUCCCAGAUUUUCCUGUAUCCGUAUCCCAGAUUUCCCCCCGCCUCCAUCCCAGAGAAUCCCAAAUUUCCCGGUAUCCGCAUCCCAGAGAAUCCCGGAUUUUCCCGUGUCCAUAUCCCAGAUUUUCCCGCACCUGCAUCCCAGAGAAUUCCAGGUUUUCCUUCAUCGGCAUCCCAGAACAUCCCAGAUUUCCCCACAUCCCAGAUUUCCCCACAUCCCAGAUUUUCCUUUAUCCGCAUCCCAGAUUUUCCCACAUCGGCAUCCCAGAGAAUUCCAGAUUUUCCUGUGUCCGCAUCCCAGAUUUCCCCCAUCCCAGGAAUUUCCCCCACAUCCCAGGAAUUUCCCCCAUCCCAGAUUUUCCCCCCCUCCAUCCCAAAUUUCCACACCCCAGGAAUUCUCCCCCAUCCCAGAUUUCCCCGUGUCCGUAUCCCAGAUUUCCCCCAUCCCAGAUUUUCC